rnacentral:rRNA from 1 species
GAUACUGCCGGACUUGAGGUGCUCAGGGGCGAGUGGAACUCUCGGUGGAGCGGUGAAAUGCGUAGAUGUCGAGAGGAACGCCCAUGGUGAAGACAGCUCGCUGGGGGCAUCCUGACGCUGAGGUCCGAAAGCUAGGGGAGCAAACGGGAUUAGAUACCCCGGUAGUCCUAGCCCUAAACGAUGCGCACUAGGUGGAGGAGGCUCUGACGGUCAUCCCCGCCGCAGCGAAAGCGUUAAGUGCGCCGCCUGGGGAGUACGGUCGCAAGGCUAAAACUCAAAGGAAUUGACGGGGGCUCACACAAGCGGUGGAGCAUGUGGCUCAAUUCGAGGCAACGCGAAGAACCUUAUCCUGGGCUUGACAUGCAGGUAGUAGAACCCCGAAAGGGGGACGAUAGGUUCAGCCCUAAGCCUGCACAGGUGCUGCAUGGCUGUCGUCAGCUCGUGCUGUGAAGUGUCGGGUUAAGUCCCUUA